GCUAGGUAUAGUGUGUACCUGUAGUUCCGGCUACUCGGGAGACUGAGGCAGGAGGAUGGCUUGAGCCCAGGAGUUCCGGGCUGUAGCUGAUCAGGUGUCUGUGCUAAGUUCAGCAUCAAUAUGGUGACCUCCGGGAUCGGGGACCACCAUGUUGCCUAAGGCAGGGUAAACCAGCCCAAGUCGUUAAUGGAGCAGGUCAAAACUCCGGUGCUAAUCAGUAAUAGGACUGUGCCUGUGAAUAGCUACUGCACUCCAGCCUGGGCAACAUAGGGAGAUGCCAUCUUUA
ensembl:misc_RNA Metazoa_SRP Metazoan signal recognition particle RNA